GCCACACUGCCCUGUGCGAGGGAGAUGGGAGGUAAAAAACGCUCUCCACAGGUGGCAGAGUGCUGCAGUCAACCCCUUAGUGUGUCUUUGUGCCACCUCCCCGGCUUCCAGUAUUGCCACUGCCAGAAAACUGCUGGUGUUGGGCUCCAACUGUGCACAGCCCAGGCAAUCUCUGCUACCUCCAAGACUCAUGUGGACCUUUGAAGAACGCCACCCUGGCUCCGUCCUGGCCUCUGCUCCUGCCUUCUUGCUGGGCUGUGGAGGUCACAGCAUAUACACCUUACGGCCAGCCACCAGAGUUCUGACAACACUGCCAUGUCGUGGAAAGAUACAAAAAGUCCAGCUGGCGACCCUCUGACUCUUGGGAGGAAAGAAAGAGGGCCAGCUUCUCCAACUGCAAUCCAGUGGGAGAAAGUGUGCGAGUGGGUACCUAUCAAAGUGGUUUUCAAGAUUCUCAUUUUUUUGCCCCUGGAAUGGGGUGUGGGACUGAAACACCAGUGAAUCCCUGUCGUAGAAGAUACAAGGAGCUGAAGUGCUAGCAGAAGUUCUCCAAAGCAGCAGAUAGAAGAAAGGGAAUAUGAGGUGGGGUGUGUGUGUGCAUGUGUUUAGCUUAGCCCUGGAGCAAACGUCCUUGGCCCGUGGAUGGAGAUAGCCAAGCCUUGAUUUAACCCUUGAUGUUGUCGUACUUUUGUCCUUUAAGGUUUUCAAGCACUCUGGGACUGGCUCUGUGGCCGAGUGGUUAAGUUCGUGUGCUCCGCUUCAGCGGCCCAGGGUUCGGAUCCUGGGCGCGGACAUGGCACCACUCAUUAGGCCAUGUUGAGGCAGCAUCCCACAUGCCACAAAUAGAAGGAUCCACAACUAAAAAAUGUGCAACUAUGUACCGGGAGGAUUUGGGGAGAAAAAAGCAGGAGAAAAAAAAAAAAUAAGAUUUUCAAGCACUGUGGUCCUGGAAGAAGCAGCAAGGGCUAAUGAGGAGCAGGCUGUACUCUGGGAAACAGGAAAUCUGGUUCCAUUAUGACUUCACCAGGGCCAGCCAUGGAAUUCUGAGCAGCUCGUUUGCUGCCCAGUGCUUUGGGUCUCCCUUGGCUACAGAUGCCAUCUGCGCCUUUAAGAUGUGAGGUUGUUUCCUGCAAAAUAGUGCUAGUGUCAUUGGCUGUUAAAAAUGGGACAGGCGGGGGAGCUUUGUCAUUUGGAUGACAUGUUUGCUGGGUUUGGCUUAUCCUGCUUGGGCGUUUUCUUCGUCCUUACUUUCUGGACACACAGAGAGAACAUAUGUUUGCAGUAUUGGAGGCAGGGGAUGAACUUCCUGUGUGGCAGCCCUACUGAAGUGUAUUCUUGCACGCACAAAUGCAAAGGCAGAUGCUGACCUGCUCUCUCAACCCUUCAGAACCCCUUUGGGGAAUGCUGGUGUGGUCACCGUCAGAGCAGAGCAACAAACAAAUCUGCUUUCCUCGGGGAUGAGCUCCAUUUGGACAGUACGAAACUUUGCUCAUUGAAAGCAAUUUAUUUAAACAAAUCAGGGUUUUUAAACUUUUUUAUUGAAGUGUAACAUACAUACAGAAAAGUGCAUGCAUCAUGAACAUACUGCUCGGUGAAUCUGUGCAAAGUCAACACACCUGUGUCCCCCAGCUAACCGAGUCAGGAAGUAGAACAUUAGUGGCAUCCCAGAAGACCCGAUGUAUCUCCUCUCCCAGUUACUAGACCUUUGUGGUAUAACCACUACCUUGACUUUCAGUACUUUAUACUAAUUUUGCCUGUUUUUGAACUUCAUAUAUAUUCGUGACAUUUAUCCACAGUUUGCACAGAUCUUAUUCAUUUACUCUCAUUACUAUAUAGUAUUCCAUGAUAGAAAUAUACCACAGUUUGCUUCAUCUGUGUUGAUGGGAUUUGGGGCUGUUUGCCAUUUUUGGCUAUUUCAAAUUCUACUUCUAGGAAGUUUUGCACAUGCCUCUCGGUACUCGUGUGCACGCAUUUCUGGUGCACAUUCUUACAAGUGGAGCUGCUGGGUCACAGUGUUUGCACACAUUCAGCUUUAAUGGACUUGCGAAACAGCAGUGAAUGAUAGGAAUGCUUUUUUUUUUUUGAGGAAGCCUGGCCCUGAGUAACAACCGAGCCCAUCUUCCUCUACUUUAUAUGUGGGACACCUGCCACAGCAUGGCUUGACAAGCGGUGCCGUGUCCACACCUGGGAUCCGAACCAGCGAACCCUGGGCCGCCGAAGCAGAACGUGCGAACUUAACCACUGCGCCAAGGGGCCGGCCCCAGGCAUGCAUUUUUGAUAGAGGAGGAGCACAGAGCUAAGAUCGGGCCCUAGGCUUCUGGUCCCUUCCCAGGCUUGGAUUAGGGAGGAACCAGAGCAAACCACUUACUCUCUGUGCCUCCUCAACUAUAAACUAGAAAUAAUUAGUACCUGCUCUAUUACUUGCUGUGGGACGGACAGCCCUCUGCCAAGACUCACGCUGCACAAAUGCAAGCUGUCAUUAAAAUGGAAGCAGAGGAGGCAGCUUUUUAAUUAUUAAUGAGAACUAAAGAAUAACUAUACUUAUGUGAAUUUCCAUUUCCAAUUAAGAAUCUAGAGAUCAGAUUAACUGCUCUGCUAGACAGAAUUGUAUCGCCAAAGGGACCUGUAGUAUUAUUCUCUUAAACUCAGACAUAGUGAGUAACCUCCCCAGCCUGUCCUUCAGUCUCACCAGAAGAUUCCUUAACUGCCUGGAGCACCAGGGGGCCUCCCAAUUCUAUCUUUCAAUCACCAAAUGCCCCAGCUUCCUCCUUUCCCUUGCAUCAGCCUGAGUUGACCUGAUCUGGAAAGACUGUUUGGUUCAGCUCUGUCUGACUGGACCAGGAAAGCCAAAGGACACCGUCAUUCCAUGUGUUCUUGCAUCGCUGAAUGCAAAGUUUGAGUACUGUGAAUGAGGCCAAUUUGAUCUCACUGUGAAACCAAAAGUUCACAAACAUUUAUUUUAUGAAAGGUUGUGCUAAGCUAAACCAAGGGCUGUAAAAAAUGAUAAUUGAAAGUGGUGUCAAAAUCUCUUGCAGCCUAUUGGUUCCCGUGCAGGUAAUACCACAAGUAGGAGGCAGUGCCCUCUUCUGGCCAAAGCCACACUUGCAUGGCUGUGGCUAGGGGACUGCCAGCUCGUGGGCACUGGUUUUCCACUUGGGAGCAGGCUCCCUGUCGGGUUGUCUUGAGUGAAUCAUGUUUGGGAUCCACAGUCCCUUUCUUCUUCAAAAGAGAAAAGCCAAAACGGAUGGUUAAUUUAUGUGCAAUUAACAAUGAAAUCAGUAGACGUUUUUACCUUCCAUAACGUGGUUGGGCCUUAUCCUUAGGAGCAAGAACUGAGGUUUCCUGAAGAAAAAACUCUGCUUCAAGCCUGCAGUAAGAAGCUCUGCCUGAGUUUCCAUCCUGCAGACUUCAAAUUCCAGACUGCAACGUCUGCUCUUCCCUGAGUUUCUAUCCAGCCAGCCUGCUUUACGAAUUCAAACUUGUCAGUCCCCACAGUCGUUUGAGGCAAUUCCUUAAAACAAGUCUGUGUGCGCGCGUCUGAGUAUAUAUCUCCUAUUGGCUCCGUUUCCCUGGAGAACCCUGACUAAUACAAAACGCAGCUCCAAACCCCAUUCUAUAUCGGGGACAUCUCACCUGAAUGAACAUAGAGGGACAUGAAGUAUAGCAGCCGACCUUCUGAGUUCAGGAUUAAGUCCAGUCCCGGCUCACUUACUAGCUACUUAGUCAUACUUAGCCUUGGUUUCUUCACUUGCACAAAGGAGAAAAUAGUAAUAUUUACUGAACAGGCUGUUGGGAAGAUUAAAUAAGAGAAAACGUGCUUAGAAUGGUGUCUGGCUCAGAGCAAGUACUUGAUAAAAUGCUAAUGGUUAUUAUUAUGAUUAUUACUAAGGGUAUUGAGGAAAGUUGUCGAGGAAGAGUGAGUUACAGUGUUGGGUACAUGGAAGGUAGCUCUCCCCGGCCACUUCCUGCCCCUUGUCUCCCCAAAUCUCUCAUGUGCAGGCGAUCUCUGCCUAUCACCACUUGUUCCUGGGGGACAUUAUAGAGCCAUUUCUCGUAAAAUGUCCUGUUUCUUCCUGUAGGAACCCAAUCAAGAUUAAAAGUUGGAUUCCAAAUUAAGGACUAAGUCAGAGAUGAAACCGUUCUUGUUUUUAUAUUUGUGUGUGUUUCAUUCAGUGAUUCAACAGAAGGGCCCACAAGACUCCACAGCAGGUUACAGACUCACUGAGACGUAUAAAGCAAAGGAUACAGAGCGACAGCAGCAGGAAAAAGACGUGCAUGAAUGGAGCCCAGAGAGGUUCAACACAGACUUCCAAUAUCCUUCGUGGUUCAAGGCCACACAGGAGAACUCCCUCUCACCAUUAACUGUGGGGACAUGUGUGGAAUGCCUUUGCCCAUGGAAGCCUGUUUGAGUCUCAGAGUCCAAGGCUUUUAUGGAGAUCUGGCCACACGGGUAUAUUCUGCCAUGCAACCAGCCACGACAACCAAAACUCACGACCCUCACCAUGAAACCAGGUGCACAUCACUGAUCUUGACGUUUGUACAAAGCAACCUGACAAGCAGGUAUGGCAUGGUCCAUCGCUCCAGUGUAUAUAACAAAACAAUCAAUCACUACCAUAAAGAACACUCUAGGGACCACGUUCCCAGCGGGUGGCCAAUGGUUAAUCAUGGGUCCCUUAGAGACAUGUGAGGAGUAAGCAGCAAGACCUGCUGUCUUAACAAUUUCCUCACAAUCUGUAUUUUCUAAAAUGCCUAUAUUUAACCUGUAUUAUUUUAUAUUCAGAAAACUAGCUAUUACUAUAAAGGCAUCUAAACUUAAUUAUUUUCUUCUUUAGUGAUUUAACGAUGCUGCUUCGUAAUCUCAGUACAUUUCCCUGUAGUCAGCAGAGCUGCCGAGAGACGUCAAGUCACCCUACUAGACACUUCAUGGAUGCCCAUCAGAACCUUCAUACUCUUUGGGAAAACCAUAAAAAUAGGCCAGGACAGAGCAUAUGAGACCUAGGAGGAACCACACCACCACCAGUCAACUUCCCCAUCUUAGAGACAAGCAAGUGGGAACACUGAGCAGUGAAAUGACUCACCCAAGGUUCUAAGUCUAAGGUCUUUGAAUUAAAAACCUCUCUUGGAGGGGCUGGCCCCGUGGCCGAGUGGUUAAGUUGGCGCGCUCCGCUGCAGGGGGCCCAGUGUUUCGUUGGUUCGAAUCCUGGGUGCGGACAUGGCACUGCUCAUCAAACCACGCUGAGGCAGUGUCCCACAUGCCACAACUAGAAGGACCCACAACGAAGGAUAUACAACUAUGUACUGGGGGACUUUGGGGAGAAAAAGGAGAAAACUAAAAUCUUUAAAAAAAAAAAAAAACCUCUCUUGGAACUCCUGAAAUGGGUCAAGGCAAUGUCUGCUCAGAUGCUUCUGAUUGUCUUUAACAUGGGCAGAAACUGGAGGAGUCCUGACUGUUGGAGCUGCCUGAACCAAGUGUGCAUGGGCCAAUCUCUUUCAGUCUGGCUAGGCUUCCCAUCCUUCCUUCUCUCGUCCCUUCUCCAGUGGCCUGACAGAAGCACCAGGAUUCUGUCUAGAGCAUUGCCCAUGCUAUUGGGUCAAUGGUCCAGUUUGGAACCUAGCAAGAGAUUGAUUUCAUCUUCACUAAAAUUUUUCUUCUCUUCCCUUCAUUUACUCUCUUGUCUGUUGGGGGGUGGUGUCUGUCUCUCCACUGGACUGUAAAUUCCGUGAAGGCUUCCUGGAAGCAGGUUAUACAGUGUUAUGGUUUUGGGUAGUGAAGUCAAUGGUCCGGGGUCUGAAUUCUGGUUUAGCAUCUCACUGGCUUGUGUGAUUUGAGUGAGUUACUUAGUGGAAAUACCAAUAGUUCCUCCCUCACAAGGUUACUGGGAGGACAAAAGGAAGUAAUAACACUUAAGUAGCAUAGAGUUUGGCAUACAAGAAAUGUUCAGUAAAUAUUAGCUAUUAUUUUUUAAAUAGGUACUCCAUUUAUUUUGGAAAAUUCUACUCUCUGCUCUUUUUAACAGUUUUAUUGAGGUAAUGGACAUAUAAUAUACACUGUACAUGUUUAAAGUAUACAGUGUCAUAAGUUUUGGGUUUUUUUCUCCUCUUUCUUUUAAGUGUGCUUUUUGGUGAGGAAGAUUGGCCCUGCGCUAACAUCUGUUGCCAAUCUUCCUCCUUUUUUUUUUCUCUCCAUUACAUAGUGGUAUAUCCCAGUUGUAGGUCAUUCUAGUUCUUCUAUGCGGGACACCGCCACAGCAUGGUUUGAUGAGCAGUGCAUAGAUCUGCUCCCAGGAUCCGAACCGGCAAACCUUGGGCCUCCAAAGAGGAGCACAUGAAUUGCAAACUUAACCACUUGGCCAUGGGGCUGGCCCAAACAGUGUCAUAAGUUUUGAUGUGUACACAUCUGUGAAACCAUCACCACAAUCUAGUUAAUGAACAUAUCCAUAACCCUCAAGAGUUUAUAUCCUUUUGUAAUCCCUUUCCCUGUCUACAGGAAACCAGUGUUUACUCUGUGUCUCUAUAUGUUAGCUUGCAUUUUCCAGAAUAUUAUAUAAAUGGAAUCAUAUAGUAGCCACUCUUUUUCGGCAUCUUUCACCCAGCAUUAUUCUGAGAUUCAUCCAUGUUGCUGAGUGUAUCAAUUGCUGAGUAGAUACACAGCAAUUUGUUUAUUCAUUCACCUACUGAUGGACAUUUGGGUUGUUUCCAGUUUUGAGGUAUUAGAAAUAAAAUUUGUAUUAACAUUUGUGUACAACUCUUUGUAUGGAAAUAUGCUUACAUUUCUCCUGGGAGUAGAAUGGGUGGGUCAUAAGUCAGGUAUAUGUUUAAGUUUUUAAGAAACUGCCAAAUUGUUUUCUAAAUGGUUGUACCAUUUUGCAUUCUUAUCAGUAGCCUAUGAGAGUUCCAGUUGCUCCACAUCCUCCAUGACAAAACCCUCAGGUACUCUUGCCAUAGAAACAUAGUCAUAGUUCCUGUAGUUAAAAACACGUGAGAAAUAUUGGGUUUCUUUAUCCUAGGACUUGUUAGCGGAUUAAGGCAGUAAUGUGGUGGAACCUAUGAGUGGAUAUCACACGCAGUGUCCUCACACUGACUGACCCAUGGAACUCUUUAUUCGAGGUUCAUGUCUAGCAAUCAGUGUUCUAUGGAACACAUCUCGGGAAACGCUGCCUUGGGGAUUGCUCUGUGCAAAGCCUUAAAG
rnacentral:lncRNA from 1 species